AAUGAACGCUGGCGGCAGGCUUAACACAUGCAAGUCGAACGCACCGCAAGGUGAGUGGCAGACGGGUGAGUAACACGUGGGGAUCUGCUCAAUGGUACGGAAUAGCUCCGGGAAACUGGAAUUAAUACCGUAAGUGCGCUUCGGGGGCAAGAUUUAUGUCCAUCGGGUGAACCCGAGACGGAUUAGCUGGUUGGUGAGGUACAGGCUCAUCAAGACGACGAUCAGUAGCUGGUCUGUGAGGAUGAGCAGCCACACUGGGACUGAGACACGGCCCAGACUCCUACGGGAGGCAGCAGUGGGGAAGAUUGAACGAUGUGCGAAAGCCUAAUCCUGCCAUGCCGCGUGAGUGAGGAGGUCCUUAAGAUUGUGAAGCUCUUUCGCCAACUAGGAUAAUGACGGUAGUCGGAGAAGAAGCCCCGGCUAACUUCGUGCCAGCCGCCGCAGUAAUAC
rnacentral:rRNA from 1 species